ACUUCCUAUUUGCAGUGGCUUAUGAAAGAAGCGCGAUGCAGAACUACGAAAGAAGACGUAAAUAAACCCCUGAACGCACUAUCUAUUCAUCUUCAUCUGUGUCAGUGAGCAGUGAACGGUAAAAUAAAAUAUGGGGAAAGAGAGCCUAAGGGACUGUUGAAAUGGGACAUUGAAAUAUGAGAUAAGUGUGGAUUACAAAGGAGCUCCUGAGGAAACGUCAAGAAGAAAAGACAACAGAGAAGUUGAACAGACAUGCAGAUGCGGCAGAAUCCAACACAGGAAUUUAAAGUGGCAUUAUGGGUAUCUCAAGCGUAGUUGGUUAUCAGGCACAAAGCAGUCUUUCUGCACCACAUGCAUACAUAUGCUGCACAUACUUUGCAAUAAAGGGACGGACGUAGUGAGGGU
rnacentral:lncRNA from 1 species